UACAGAGGUCCCAAGCGUUGUUCGGAUUCAUUGGGCGUAAAGGGUGCGUAGGUGGCAUGGUAAGUCGGGUGUGAAAUCCCGGGGCUCAACCCCGGAACUGCACUCGAUACUACCGUGCUCGAGUACUGGAGAGGAGACUGGAAUUUACGGUGUAGCAGUGAAAUGCGUAGAUAUCGUAAGGAAGACCGGUGGCGAAGGCUAGGCUCUGGACAGUUACUGACACUGAGGCACGAAGGCCAGGGGAGCAAACGGG
rnacentral:rRNA from 1 species